rnacentral:rRNA from 1 species
GGACUAUCCGCCUGGGUACUACGAGCUUUAGCUUAAAACCCAAAGGACUUGGCGGUGCUUAAGAUCCACCUAGAGGAGCCUGUUCUAUAACCGAUACCCCCCGUUUAACCUCCGCCUAUAUACCGCCGUGGUCAGCUCACCCUGUAGGCCCUGUAGUAACGCAAAAUUGGCACGACCCAAAACGCCAGGUCGAGGUGUAGCGUAUGAAAGAGGAAGAAUGGGCUACAUUUCUAAACAGG